rnacentral:rRNA from 1 species
ACAUGCCUAUAGCAUAUCUUUAAUGCACCUGAUCCCAUUAGAAAUUUGUAGCUAAGAAUGCCCAGGAUAGAGUAGUAAUGGGAUGGGUGAUCACCUAGGAAGUCGUAGUGUUUUACAUGUC